rnacentral:sRNA from 19 species
GUCAACGACCCACCGCUAUAUUGCUUUAGCAAUUAGCAGGGACUUGAAAGAGUCCAUAGUUGACCAGCUUAAGUUCAAACAAGAACUACGUUUUUAGAGCUAUCACACCUACGAAUGCGUCGCUAGUUUGCAGCUCUGUG